UACGUAGGGUGCAAGCGUUAAUCGGAAUUACUGGGCGUAAAGCGUGCGCAGGCGGCCAUGCAAGACAGAUGUGAAAUCCCCGGGCUCAACCUGGGAACUGCAUUUGUGACUGCAUGGCUAGAGUACGGUAGAGGGGGAUGGAAUUCCGCGUGUAGCAGUGAAAUGCGUAGAGAUGCGGAGGAACACCGAUGGCGAAGGCAGCCCCCUGGGCUAACACUGACGCUCAGGCACGAAAGCGUGGGGAGCAAACAGG
rnacentral:rRNA from 1 species